GGAUGAACGCUAGCGACAGGCUAACACAUGCAAGUCGAGGGGCAUCACGGGAGUAGCAAUACAACGUGGUGGCGACCGGCGCACGGGUGAGUAACGCGUAUGCAACCUACCUAUCAGGAGGGGAAGUAACCCGGCGAAAGUCGGACUAAUACCGCAUAAAACAGGGGCACCGCAUGGUGAUAUUGUUAAAGAAAUUCGCUGAUAGAUGGGCAUGCGUUCCAUUAGGUAGUUGGUGAGGUAACGGCUCACCAAGCCGACGAUGGAUAGGGGAACUGAGAGGUUGGUCCCCCACACUGGUACUGAGACACGGACCAGACUCCUACGGGAGGCAGCAGUGAGGAAUAUUGGUCAAUGGGCGGGAGCCUGAACCAGCCAAGUCGCCGUGAAGGAAGAAGGAUCUAUGGUUCGUAAACUUCUUUUGCAGGGGAAUAAAGUGCAGGACGUGUCCUGUUUUGUAUGUACCCUGAGAAUAAGGAUCGGCUAACUCCGUGCCAGCCGCCGC
rnacentral:rRNA from 1 species